rnacentral:lncRNA from 1 species
CAGUUCAGGGAUGAGUUCUGCAAGUCAAGACUUCUCCUGUUGGUUCCAGAGAACUGAUCUGCUGAAUGGAAGUUAAGGAAUUUGUGACGGCUUUCAGGAAACUUUGUCUUAGCCAAAUUUUCUAUUUGCAGCGUGAAAACUGGCUGUGUGGGAGAACCAUGACUUGGAGAGGGAAAGGAGGAAUGUAUCAGGCUUAACACACAGCAUAUGCCCUCCUUGCAGAAUGAAUUAGGGGAUGCUGGGAAGAGGAAGCAAUCAGGGUAGAUAGAGAGCUGUACUUGGAAGCAGUGAAAGAAAGCUGGUAGUAUCCUAGAGAGAUACGAGGAUCAGAACUCAGGAAAGAGUGUUGGAUUUCAAAGGAACUCAGGCUGUUAAGGGCUGACAAGCUUGGUCAGGGCACGCUGUGCUGGGACUGCUGGAUGAUGUGCUCCAGAGACAGUGUGCAGCGUUGGUCAGCCACCUUUCAUCAUCCUUGGUGCAGAAAUGGUUCUCUUCAGAAUGAGAAGCAGAUUGCUACAAAGGCAGUGAUGAGAUCCUUCUGGUUUGCUGUGAGCCUCUUGUCGCCUCCAGUGUAAACCAUGGAACCUAUUGGAUCUUGCUUAACAGAGAAGCAGAGAAACUACCGCACAUGCAAAUGCUGCUCAGAAACAUCUAUCAGGGAGAAAAAAGCCUCUGUAAGCAGAAGCAUUGUAUGACUUCUCAUUAUUAAAACAGUCGCAGUGUAUUUGAGGGUAUAUUUGUACUAUGUUGGCUCUUAGGAGGUCCAGUCAUUGACCAGCAUCCACUCUUUUGGUUGUUGCAGUGGGCACUGUCAUCCUAUUGUGAUCUCUUUUUUUUUUUUUUUUUUUUUUUGUAUUGCAAUCCUUAUUUUUUACGGAGGGAUUUAUAAAAGCCACUGUAAUACUGACAGAACUAGAACAUUCUAAAACACUACAGUUACUGUAACAUAACAAUACUGUUUAUUGGGUCUGGAAAAAAAG